rnacentral:rRNA from 1 species
UUAACACAUGCAAGUCGAGGGGUAACAGGGGUUGCUUGCAACCCGCUGACGACCGGCGCACGGGUGCGUAACGCGUAUACAAUCUACCUUCUGCUGAGGAAUAGCCCAGAGAAAUUUGGAUUAAUGCCUCAUAGUAUGUAGAGGUGGCAUCACUUUUACAUUAAAGGUUACGGCAAAAGAUGAGUAUGCGUUCUAUUAGCUAGAUGGUGUGGUAACGGCACACCAUGGCAACGAUAGAUAGGGGCCCUGAGAGGGGGAUCCCCCACACUGGUACUGAGACACGGACCAGACUCCUACGGGAGGCAGCAGUGAGGAAUAUUGGGCAAUGGAGGCAACUCUGACCCAGCCAUGCCGCGUGCAGGAAGACUGCCCUAUGGGUUGUAAACUGCUUUUAUACAGGAAGAAACACUCUCACGUGUGAGGGCUUGACGGUACUGUAAGAAUAAGGAUCGGCUAACUCCGUGCCAGCAGCCGCGGUAAUACGGAGGAUCCAAGCGUUAUCCGGAAUCAUUGCGUUUAAAGGGUCCGUACGUGGGUA